UACGAAGGGGGCUAGCGUUGCUCGGAAUCACUGGGCGUAAAGGGCGCGUAGGCGGCGCCCCUAGUCAGGCGUGAAAUCCCCGGGCUCAACCCGGGGGCUGCGCUUGAUACGGGGGCGCUGGAGGGCGGGAGAGGCUCGCGGAAUUCCCAGUGUAGAGGUGAAAUUCGUAGAUAUUGGGAAGAACACCGGUGGCGAAGGCGGCGACCUGGUCCUUGACUGACGCUGAGGCGCGAAAGCGUGGGGAGCAAACAGG
rnacentral:rRNA from 1 species